CCACGGGCGGCUCCAGUGAGGAAUAUUGCACAAUGGGGGGAACCCUGAUGCAGCAACGCCGCGUGGAGGAUGACGCAUUUCGGUGUGUAAACUCCUUUUAUAUGUCAAGAAAAUAACGGUAGCAUAUGAGUAAGCACCGGCUAACUCCGUGCCAGCAGCCGCGGUAAUACGGAGGGUGCAAGCGUUACUCGUAAUCACUGGGCGUAAAGGACGCGUAGGCGGGUUGGAAAGUCAGGUGUGAAAUCCUACAGCUUAACUGUAGAACUGCACUUGAAACUUCUAAUCUAGAGUAUGGGAGGGGGAGAUGGAAUUAGUGGUGUAGGGGUAAAAUCCGUAGAUAUCACUAGGAAUACCUAAAGCGAAGGCGAUCUCCUGGAACAUUACUGACGCUAAGGCGUGAAAGCGUGGGGAGCAAACAGGAUAGAUACCCUUGUAGUC
rnacentral:rRNA from 1 species